rnacentral:rRNA from 1 species
GAUGAACGCUGGCGGCGUGCUUAACACAUGCAAGUCGAACGGAAAGGCCAUGCUCUUGUUGGGUGCACGAUUGGCGAACGCGGGAGUAACACGCGUGUAUCAUGCCCUUGUAUUUGGGGUAAAAUCAGGAGACAGGGGCGCAUAUCGCGUAUAAUAUACUGCAGCAUAGUGGUCGAUGGUAAAAUUCGGCGUUUGGGGAUGGACUAGCUGCUUAUCAGCUUGAUUGUGUGGUAGUGGCGUACCAAGGCUUUGACGGGUAGCCGGCCUGAGAGGCGGACCGGCCACAUGGGGACUGCGGGACGGCGCAGACUCCUACGGGAGGCAGCGGUGGGGAGUAUUGCGGAAUGGGCGGAAGCCUGAUGUAGAAACGCCGCGUGCGGGAUGAUGGCCGUCGGGGUGUAAACCGCUUUCGCCGGUGAUGAAGAGGGAGUGACGGUAAUGGGUAAAGAAGCACCGGCUAACUACGUG